UACCAGCUUGCUGGUAUGAUUAGUGGCGAACGGGUGAGUAAUGCUUAGGAAUCUGCCUAUUAGUGGGGGACAACAUUCCGAAAGGAAUGCUAAUACCGCAUACGUCCUAUGGGAGAAAGCAGGGGAUCGCAAGACCUUGCGCUAAUAGAUGAGCCUAAGUCGGAUUAGCUAGUUGGUGGGGUAAAGGCCUACCAAGGCGACGAUCUGUAGCUGGUCUGAGAGGAUGAUCAGCCACACUGGGACUGAGACACGGCCCAGACUCCUACGGGAGGCAGCAGUGGGGAAUAUUGGACAAUGGGCGAAAGCCUGAUCCAGCCAUGCCGCGUGUGUGAAGAAGGCCUUUUGGUUGUAAAGCACUUUAAGUGGGGAGGAAAAGCUAAUAAUUAAUACCUAUUAGCCCUGACGUUACCCACAGAAUAAGCACCGGCUAACUCUGUGCCAGCAGCCGCGGUAAUACAGAGGGUGCAAGCGUUAAUCGGAAUUACUGGGCGUAAAGCGAGCGUAGGUGGUCAUUUAAGUCAGAUGUGAAAUCCCCGGGCUUAACCUGGGAACUGCAUCUGAUACUGGGUGACUAGAGUAGGUGAGAGGGAAGUAGAAUUCCAGGUGUAGCGGUGAAAUGCGUAGAGAUCUGGAGGAAUACCGAUGGCGAAGGCAGCUUCCUGGCAUCAUACUGACACUGAGGUUCGAAAGCGUGGGUAGCAAACAGGAUUAGAUACCCUGGUAGUCCACGCCGUAAACGAUGUCUACCAGUCGUUGGGUCUCUUGAAGACUUAGUGACGCAGUUAACGCGAUAAGUAGACCGCCUGGGGAGUACGGCCGCAAGGUUAAAACUCAAAUGAAUUGACGGGGGCCCGCACAAGCGGUGGAGCAUGUGGUUUAAUUCGAUGCAACGCGAAGAACCUUACCUACUCUUGACAUCCAAAGAAGAACUC
rnacentral:rRNA from 1 species